GAUGAACGCUGGCGGCGUGCCUAAUACAUGCAAGUCGAGCGAACAGACGAGGAGCUUUCUCCUCUGCCGUUAGCGGCGGACGGGUGAGUAACACGUGGAUCACCUACCUAUAAUACUUGGAUAACUUCGGGAAACCGGAGCUACUACCGGAUCAUAUAUUGAACCGCAUGGUUCAAUAGUGAAAGACGGUUUUGCUGUCACUUAUAGCUGGAUCCGCGCCGCAUUAGCUAGUUGGUAAGGUAACGGCUUACCAAGGCGACGAUGCGUAGCCGACCUGAGAGGGUGAUCGGCCACACUGGAACUGAGACACGGUCCAGACUCCUACGGGAGGCAGCAGUAGGGAAUCUUCCGCAAUGGGCGAAAGCUUGACGGAGCAACGCCGCGUGAGUGAUGAAGGUCUUCGGAUCGUAAAACUCUGUUAUUAGGGAAGAACAAAAGUGUAAGUAAAUAUGCACGUCUUGACGGUACCUAAUCAGAAAGCAACGGCUAACUACGUG
rnacentral:rRNA from 1 species